AGGAAAUGAAGAAUGACUGCUGAUGGAUGUGGGGUUUCUUUUUGAUCGACAAAAAUGCUCCAAAAUUGACGGUGGUGAUGGUUAUACAACUCUGCCAGCACACCAAAAACCCGUGAAUUGUGCACUUGGAACGAGUUGUCUGUGUGUGAAUUACAUCUCCGUAAAGCUGUUAUAAAGACCAUUUGGAGGGUGACUGGCAUGUGAUCUUCAUGGCGUAAGCGUUAGCUCUGAUGAUGAUGGGGGCAGUGGGGUGGUGGUGGUUGCCCGUAACUGUUCGAAACACGCAGUGUGUCUUACUGUGAAGCAUUCUGUUGUAUAGGAUCUCCUCUAUCGAAGAUCUAGGUCACUAGUGGAUUAUGAAAAUGCUAAUAAAGCACUGGAUAAAGCAAGAGCGAAAAAUAAAGAUGUUCUUCAGGCUGAGACAUCCCAACAAUUAUGUUGUCAGAAAUUUGAAAAAAUAUCUGAAUCUGCAAAACAAGAACUUAUAGAUUUUAAGACGAGAAGAGUUGCCGCAUUCAGAAAAAAUUUAGUGGAACUGGCAGAGUUAGAACUGAAGCAUGCAAAGGUUAGUGUCAUAGUCAAGGUUUAAUAUUUUACGUGACUUAUAAUUUAGAAAUGAGUCAGUCUUGGGACACCUGGGUCCUCACGAUUGGUGAGUUUCAAGUCCCACGUUAGGCUGUGCGGCCCCCUUUCAGAUCCUCUGUCCCCCCUCUGUGCCCUUCCCCCGCAAAAGUAAAAAAAUACACAUUAAAAAGAAAAAGGAGGGAGGGAGGGAGAGAGAGAGAGAGAGAGAGAGAGAGAGAGAAAGAAAGAAAGAAAGAAAGAAAGAAAGAAAGAAAGAAAGAAAGAAAGAAAAGAAAGAAAUGAAUGAAUGAAUGAAUGAAUGAAUGAAUUAUGGGGUGCCUGGCCGGCUCAUUCGGUGGAGCAUGUGACUCUUGAUCUCCUGGAUGUGAGUUUGAGCCCCACGUUGGGUGUUGGGUGUAGAGAUUACUUAAAAAAAAAGAAAGAGGGGAAGGCAGGGAGGAAGGAAGGAGUCAGUUAUGGAAUUGAUAAUAAUCCUUUAAUGACAGUUUCUUUCUGGAGGGAUAUUGGAAGAACCAUUCCUGGAUUAGAAUGAAUUAUAAUUGGAAUGCUAAUUUUUGAAGAUCAUUUUAGUACUUCAGAAUAAUUUAAUGUUAGUAAAUAAAUAUCCUUCGCCCAGGGUCUUUUAUAGUGUUUGUUUCCUCCAGAUUCAGCCCUUUCUUGUAGUUAAGAUAAAGCUUGGCCCAAGCCUUCUAAUAAGGUUAGAACUAGAGAAUCUUAGAAUUGCGAGCGAACUUAAAGAUCAUCUAAUUCAAGCAAGAAUAAUACGUACAGUUUCUCUAAGCGGUCAGCUCUGCAAGACCCUAGUACCUAAUAUGGAAACCAGUAUCAUUUUUGACUGCUUAAAAAAGAUAAAUCUAUCUUUAAUAAAAACUUCUUUAAAAAUUCAAUAUUUGCUGGCUUCAAUCAGAAGGACUGAAAGUAAAAAUAUAUUCAAAAUUCCCCAAAUUAUAAGUAUUAAAGAAAUUUAAAUAAAUUUGUUAGUGUUUUGUUUUGUUUUUUUAAUAUAUUUAUAGUAUUUACACUUUGAAAGUCAUUAAAAAGCUUGAGACUCUACUAAGACGUUCGGGACACUCCAUAACGCACAGAAAGCUGCUUGUGUGUCACUUUGACAAAUUGGUCAGAGUUUUGUCAUGUGAAAUAAGAAAGAUAAAUUUGACGGAUGCCUGGGUGGCUCUGUCGUUUGAGGAUCCGACUCUUGGUUUUGGUCAGGUCAUGGUCUGUCUCACAGUUUGUCAGCUGGAGGAGCCCUGCGUCCAACUCUGCGUGGAGUCUGCUUGGGGUUCUCUCUCUCCCUGCCCCUCCCCGCUCGUGCGCUCGCUCGCUCGCUCGCGCUCUCUCUCUCUCUCAAACUCUCAAAAUAAAUGGGUUGGCUUUAAAAAAAGAAAGAAAAAUGAAUUUAAUUUCUCCCACAGAAACAUUUGGAUAUAUCACCCUCAAAUAUUUGAAUAUAUUCUCUCCUACAAGCUAGACAUCUUUGAGCUAAAUAUAUUUUAUCCCAUACAUUUCAAUAAGCUUUUUAUAUUAUUACACUAGGUCAUUGCUGUUUUCAAAUAUUGCAUGCAGGGGCCCCUUGGUGGCUCAGUUGGGUAGGCCUCUGUCUUUGGCUCAGGUCACGAUCUCACGAUCUCACAGUUCGUGAGUUCGAGCCCGACGUCGGGCUCUGUGCUGACAGCUCAGAGCCUGGAAUUGCUUCGGAUUCUGUGUCUCCCUCUUUUCUCUCUCUGCCCCUCCCCUGCUCAUGCUCUGUCUCUCUCCGUCUCUAUGUCUCUCUCUCUCUCUCUC